GACGAACGCUGGUGGCGUGCCUAAUACAUGCAAGUCGAGCGAACUUGCGGGAGCUUGCUCCCAAAAGUUAGCGGCAGACGGGUGAGUAACACGUAGGCAACCUGCCUGCAAGCCCGGGAUAACAUUCGGAAACGAAUGCUAAGACCGGAUACGCAGCUUGGUCGCAUGACUGAGCUGGGAAAGACGGAGCAAUCUGUCGCUUGUAGAUGGGCCUGCGGCGCAUUAGCUAGUUGGUGAGGUAACGGCCCACCAAGGCGACGAUGCGUAGCCGACCUGAGAGGGUGAACGGCCACACUGGGACUGAGACACGGCCCAGACUCCUACGGGAGGCAGCAGUAGGGAAUCUUCCACAAUGGACGCAAGUCUGAUGGAGCAACGCCGCGUGAGUGAGGAAGGCCUUCGGGUCGUAAAGCUCUGUUGCCAGGGAAGAACGCCUAGGAGAGUAACUGCUCUUAGGGUGACGGUACCUGAGAAGAAAGCCCCGGCUAACUACGUGCCAGCCGCCGCAGUAAAAC
rnacentral:rRNA from 1 species